UCUCUGUGAUGAAGAUCCUAAGCUCACUUUGAACCAAUGUGAAAAGUUAAGAACUCCUGAGAGAU